AUGAUUAACCAAGAGAUACCAUUAAACAGGUUAAAUGCUGCAAGUCAACUUGCAGGGUCACUGACAUCAAAGAUCUCUUGGUUUGUCACUAUUGCUUCGAUAAAGCCUUUGAAAAGUUCUAUGACAUGUAUACUGCAACAUGGAAAGGAGCUGGGUUUUCAAUUAUAUCAGGUUCUAUAUGCUGUGAAGAUCACUUCAUGUGGAUGCUUACAGUAUUUACGGUGA